rnacentral:rRNA from 1 species
AACGAACGCUGGCGGCAUGCCUAACACAUGCAAGUCGAACGGUACCUCCGGGUCACCUGGCGCCCGGGUGCGUAACGCGUGGUAACGUGCCCUUAGGUUCCGAAUAAUUCCCCGUAGGGGGUGCUAAUCCCGGUUAAUGUCUUCUGACCAAAGAUUUGUAGCCCUUGGGUGGGCACGCGUUGGAUUAGCUUGUUGGUAGGGUAACAGCCUACCAAGGCGACGAUCCAUAGCUGGUCUGUGAGGAGGAUCAGCCACACUGCGGGGAGGACGCAGCCCAGAAUCCUACGGAAUGGGGGAGAGGGUGAUAUUGCACAACGGGGGGAGGCAUGAAGCAGUUAUGCUGGGUGAGUGAUGAAGUCCGUAGAGUUGUAAAGCUCUUUUACCCGCGAUGAUAAUGACAGUACCGGGAGAAUAAGCACCGGCUAACUCCGUG